CCAGAAGGAUGCACGCCAGGAGGGUAGAAGUCCAGAGGCGGCCGGCCCUGGAGCAGCCGGGGGUCCACAUAAGGUGGGAUCAUCAUCCAGCGGGGAUCGAAGUUCAUUGGAGCCAUGGGUGGGGGCCGGCCCAGAGCACCGGGGUACAGGGCCUUGGGCGGUGGCGGCGGCGGAGGCCCCAGGGUCACGGGCUGCGGCGGUGACGGAGGCAGUGGGGCAGGAGGGGCAGAGCCCUGUUGGUUCUGCUUUGAGCCGCUUGUCAGGUGCCCCAAACUUUUCAUCGAGACGCUUGAGCUUCUCAGCACAAGCCGCCCGGCGCUCCUCCUGCAUGCGACGCUCCUCCUCCUCGCGCCGUCUCCGGGCCCGCUCCACCGCCAGGGAGAUCUCAGAAGAAGAUUGUUUUCGCCGCUGCCGCCAGGCCUCAUCCUCAUCCUCGGGGGCAGGGGGCUUGGAAGGCGGCCCCGGCUCUGUUUCUGGAGGCCGAGAGGUCUCUGCCCAGGCUGUCUUGGGAGGGGCCGGUUCGCUGGCAGGGGAGGUGCCCUUUUGCCAUCUGCUUCAGGGGGCCGUUCCUCACCAGCAGCUGGUUGGGACUCCUUGCUGUGAGCAGAUC
rnacentral:lncRNA from 1 species